rnacentral:rRNA from 1 species
AACGAACGCUGGCGGCAUGCCUAACACAUGCAAGUCGAACGAGACCUUCGGGUCUAGUGGCGCACGGGUGCGUAACGCGGGGGAACCUGCCCUUAGGUUCGGAAUAACUCCCCGAAAGGGGUGCUAAUACCGGAUAAUGUCUUCGGACCAAAGAUUUAUCGCCUUUGGAUGGGCCCGCGUUGGAUUAGCUAGUUGGUAGGGUAAAAGCCUACCAAGGCGACGAUCCAUAGCUGGUCUGUGAGGAUGAUCAGCCACACUGGGACUGAGCCACGGCCCAGACUCCUACGGGAGGCAGCAGUGGGGAAUAUUGGACAAUGGGCGAAAGCCUGAUCCAGCAAUGCCGCGUGAGUGCUGAAGGCCUUAGGGUUGUAAAGCUCUUUUACCCGGGAUGAUAAUGACAGUACCGGGAGAAUAAGCUCCGGCUAACUCCGUG